rnacentral:rRNA from 1 species
CUACGGGCGGCUCCAGUGAGGAAUAUUGCACAAUGGGGGGAACCCUGAUGCAGCAACGCCGCGUGGAGGAUGACGCAUUUCGGUGUGUAGACUCCUUUUAUAUGUCAAGAAAAUGACGGUAGCAUAUGAAUAAGCACCGGCUAACUCCGUGCCAGCAGCCGCGGUAAUACGGAGGGUGCAAGCGUUACUCGGAAUCACUGGGCGUAAAGGACGCGUAGGCGGGUUGGAAAGUCAGGUGUGAAAUCCUACAGCUUAACUGUAGAACUGCACUUGAAACUUCUAAUCUAGAGUAUGGGAGGGGGAGAUGGAAUUAGUGGUGUAGGGGUAAUAUCCGUAGAUAUCACUAGGAAUACCUAAAGCGAAGGCGAUCUCCUGGAACAUUACUGACGCUAAGGCGUGAAAGCGUGGGGAGCAAACAGGAUUAGAUACCCUCGUAGUC